GGAUAGCUCAGCCACUAAAGCAUGAGACUCUGAAUCGCAAGGUUGUGGGUUUGAGCCCCACAAUGGGUGAAAUA